GACGAACGCUGGCGGCGUGCCUAAUACAUGCAAGUCGAACGAACUCUGGUAAUGAUUGGUGCUUGCAUCAUGAAUUGCAUUUGAGUGAGUGGCGAACUGGUGAGUAACACGUGGGAAACCUGCCCAGAAGCGGGGGAUAACACCUGGAAACAGAUGCUAAUACCGCAUAACAACUUGGACCGCAUGGCCCGAGUUUGAAAGAUGGCUUCGGCUAUCACUUUUGGAUGGUCCCGCGGCGUAUUAGCUAGAUGGUGAGGUAACGGCUCACCAUGGCAAUGAUACGUAGCCGACCUGAGAGGGUAAUCGGCCACAUUGGGACUGAGACACGGCCCAAACUCCUACGGGAGGCAGCAGUAGGGAAUCUUCCACAAUGGACGAAAGUCUGAUGGAGCAACGCCGCGUGAGUGAAGAAGGGUUUCGGCUCGUAAAACUCUGUUGUUAAAGAAGAACAUAUCUGAGAGUAACUGUUCAGGUAUUGACGGUAUUUAACCAGAAAGCCACGGCUAACUACGUG
rnacentral:rRNA from 2 species